rnacentral:rRNA from 1 species
CCUACGGGUGGCAGCAGUGAGGAAUAUUGGUCAAUGGGCGAGAGCCUGAACCAGCCAAGUCGCGUGAAGGAUGAAGGAUCUAUGGUUUGUAAACUUCUUUUAUAUGGGAGUAAAGUGAGGAACGUGUUCCUUUUUGUAUGUACCAUAUGAAUAAGCAUCGGCUAACUCCGUGCCAGCAGCCGCGGUAAUACGGGGGAUGCGAGCGUUAUCCGGAUUGAUUGGGUUAAAAGGGUGCGUAGGUGGUUAAUUAAGUCAGCGGUGAAAGUUUGUGGCUCAACCAUAAAAUUGCCGUGAUAACUGGUGGACAUGGGUAUAUUGGGGGUAGGCGGAAUGCGUGGGGUAGCGGUGAAAUGCAUAGAUA